rnacentral:rRNA from 1 species
UUGACCUCGAAUCAGGUAGGGAUACCCGCUGAACUUAAGCAUAUCAAUAAGCGGAGGAAAAGAAACCAACCGGGAUUACCUCAGUAACGGCGAGUGAAGCGGUAACAGCUCAAAUUUGAAAUCUGGCUCCUACGGAGUCCGAGUUGUAAUUUGUAGAAGAUGCUUUGGGAGGUAGGGCCGGCCUAAGUUCCUUGGAACAGGACAUCAGAGAGGGUGAGAAUCCCGUAUGUGGCCGUGGCCUACGCCCGUGUAAAGCUCUUUCGACGAGUCGAGUUGUUUGGGAAUGCAGCUCAAAAUGGGUGGUAAAUUUCAUCUAAAGCUAAAUAUUGGCCAGAGACCGAUAGCGCACAAGUAGAGUGAUCGAAAGAUGAAAAGCACUUUGGAAAGAGAGUUAAACAGUACGUGAAAUUGUUGAAAGGGAAGCGCUUGCAACCAGACUUGGGUGUCGUGGAUCAUCCGAGGUUCUCCUCGGUGCACUCGACGAUGCGCAGGCCAGCAUCGGUUUGGGUGGUUGGAGAAAGGCUCUAGGAACGUAGCUCUCUUCGGGGAGUGUUAUAGCCUAGGGCGCAAUGCAGCCCAUCCGGACCGAGGACCGCGCCUUCGGGCUAGGAUGCUGGCGUAAUGGUUGUAAGCGACCCGUCUUGAAACACGGACCAAGGAGUCUAACAUCUAUGCGAGUGUUUGGGCGUUAAACCCAUACGCGGAAUGCAAGUGAACGUAGGUGAGAACCCGUUAGGGUGCAUCAUCGACCGAUCCUG